AGCCCUUUAGCCUGUUAAAGCAGAAUUGUCACCAUUGUAUAUUAUUUUAUUUUGAAUGGGUCAUACAUAUGCAUAAAACAUAUACAUAAAAUGUAAAUAAAAGUUAUAAAUAAAGACUCAGAUGCCACUGCUUCAGUGAUGGCCUCAACACCAUUUAUUAUUCAUCUCUGACUAGAGAUGUCACCUUUAGCAUACACUAUGGACAUCUGUAUACUUAGAUCUAUUUCUAGAGUUUCUAUUUUAUUUUCCAUUUUUGGAUGUCUUUAUCAAGAAUGAAUGUUGAUUUUUUUCAAAUGCCUUUUCAGCUUAGGUGGAGAUGGUCAUAUGACUUCUCCUCCUAUUGAACCACUCUUUUGCCUGCCUGGAAUAAACUUCCUUUGAUCAUGUUAUCUCAUUAUUUUAAUGUGCUGUGGAACUCUUCUGGCUGAUAUUUAACUUAGGAUUUUCCCUCAACAUCUCAGGUUGGUGGGCAUCGCAAGAUGUUCCUGUCUUCAGAGAAUUGCCCUUGGCCAAAUGGAAGCAGCCUGGGCCAAUUAUUUACACAUUCCCAACUGGAGACAGCUCACAACUUGUAACUGGCUGGCAUGGGAGUGCAGAGGUCCAGCCCUUGGCUUCAAGGAGCACAGUACAACAUGCUCUGGGGUCUGCCUUCCUGAUCCUGCUCCUGUGUCACCCAAUGGUGGGGUCUCAGUGCCUGGGUCUGCUGAGAGGGGGACCCUGCUCCCCUCCACCUCACCUCCUACUCAUCACCUCUGAUGUUGGACCUUUAAGGUGGAGAUAAACAAGAAGUAAGAUGAACCAUAAACUGUAUCCUCUCUCCCUCCCACUUUUACCCCUGUAGAGGCAGCAUGUGAGACCACCAGGGCAUUCUGACCAUCCCAUCUCAUGGCGUACCCAUAACCCAGUUCUUGAUUCAGAUAUAAAAUUGAUCAGGAGGCAUGGCCUCAAAAUCCAAAAAAUAUACAUAUAUAGUGGAUUCUACAUGGCAAGUGGGGUGCAUCAAGAAGUGAAGCUGCUGUAGAAGAGCGUGGAGAUGAGCAUGAGCCCUAUGAUCCGGCUUGAGGGUCUCAGUUCUGCCGCCGAGCAGCUUCGACAAAAGGGCACAGUACACUACUCUGAGCUUCUGUUUUCUCAUCUGAGAAUACAGAUAAUAAUGCCAAUGCCACAAGUGCUUGAGGAUCAGGUGAAUGCAUUUUAAAGCGGCAGAUACUUGGCCACUUGCCCUACAAUGUUUUUAAAAGGAGUCUGGGGCAGGAAACAAAACUGGACAGGUGCUUACAAUUGAGUCGACAAGCGCUCACUUGCCAUUUCUAUUUAAAAAGCCAUCUUCGUCUUGAGAUUUUCUCCUUUAACAGACAAAAAUAUCCAUAACUUUUCUCUGAUGUUCCAUAUGCCUUUGAGACUAUUCUUAAUUAUUUAGGUCCUAUAGCUAAGGCCAUUAUAAUUUUUCUUAGAUCUUUUAACAUUUUCUGCUUGAGAAUUUUAUCAACCUUAGGAUUUCUAUGAAUGUAUUUGAUGGAGUAAAUUAAUGAUGCUUGCCAGAGGUGAGGUGUCCUCUUAUCUAGUACAUGAAUUAAGCUCCACUUGCAAAAUGAUGAGAUUUUCUCUUUCUUAUCAUUCUUCAAAAACAGAACAUUCUUCCUUCUUUCCCUGCAAUACCCUCACAGACGGUGAAUCCCAGUUCCUCCGCCUCCUUCCAAGCACUGAGACAGCCCUGAACAGAUUGUGAAGGCUGCUUUGGGAAAGGAAACCAGCAAGUCUCAGCCUCAUGGCUUAAGCGGGGAUUCAGACUCUCGUGCAGGAGGCAUGAUUGCCAGCGAAGCACCAGGCACGCUGCUGGUGGCUCUGUGGCAGAAGCGACACAGCAUGUCUCCAGCGUCCAACACGUGGCAUUCCCUCAGGCCAGCCUGCUUGCCCCCACACCCCUCAUCCCGCAUCCCCAUCUGGUCGCUCAUCACAAUGGCUCUGCUGACUUCAUGCUCAAUGUCUUGGGCCUUCCCUCUGUGGGCCAUGGGACCUUAUUUAGAGCCAUUUCUUCCCACCAAGGAGUUAAUCAUACGUAUUUUCAACAAUACAACCAUCUGGACAUCUGACACCAGUCACCAAGUAAUUAGUGGGAAAUGUUACAACAUAUCCAGGGAUAUUUAAUAAAUAUUUCUUGAAUGAAUUAAGGAGGCUCAGCAACUCCACAUAUGCUCACACCAGAAGAGGAUGACAGAGAAGCUUCUUGUACUUCCCUGGGCCCCUCCUAAGUACCUUUGAAGGUACAACCCCAAACUGAAAGCAACCUAAAUACAGUUUUGUAAAAAAUAAUGUGCUACACAUAGUUUAAAAAUAUAUAGUAAUAAAGGUAAAUUACACUUACAAUAUGGUUGAAUUUUAGAGACACAAGGAAGAAAAGCCAACUCACUGGAAUAUAUCUUAUAUUAUCCCAAAUUAAAUAUAUAUACAAACAUGUGUCACUUAACAACAGGAAUAUGUUCUGAGAAAUGCAUCCUUGGUCGAUUUUGUCAUUGUGUAAACAUUACAGAUUAUACUUACACAAAUCUAUGAUGAAGCCUACUAUAGAUCUAGGCUAUAUGAUAUAUCCUCUUACUUCUGGGCUACAAACGUGUACAGUAUAUUACUGUACUGAAUGCUAUAGGCAAUUGUUUAACACAAUGGUAAACAGUUAUGUAUAUAAACAACGAAAUAUAGAAACGGUAUAGUGAAAAUACAGUAUUAAAUAUAAAAAAAGUUACACAUAUGAGGCAUUUACUAGAAGUUUCUCUGGGUGCAUCAGUGAGUGAGUGGUAAGUGAAUGUCAAGGCCUAUGACAAUACCGAACACUACUUUAGACUACAAAAACUGCACACUUAAACUACACUAUGUUUAUUUUUGAAAUUUUCUUUCUUAAUAAUAAAUUAACCUGACCUUACUAUAACUUAACAUAUAAACUUUUAAUAUUCUUAAUUUUUUCAUUCUUUUGUAAUAAUACUUAAACAAAAACAUGUGAGUAAUGCAUUGACUGCAAUAUUACUACUACCAAGUCACAACUGUUACUAUGUCACUAGGGGUCAGCAAUUUUUCAACUCCAUUAUCACCUUAUGGGACUACUAUUAUAAUACAUUGUUGAUUGAAACAUCAUUAUGUGGUACAUGACUGUACAUGUGCAUAUGUGUAUAUAUACACAUACACACACUAAUAUGUAUGCAUAAUAAGAUAUUGAAAUUGAAACUAUAAAAGAAGGAAAGAAACUGAAUACUAUAAAAUUAGAACAGAGGUUACUGCUGAGGAAAGGGAGGGAGGUUAUGAUACUAAAGAGAUAUGCAGCAACAUUUGGGGUUGUUGCAUUCCUCUGACAACACUAUACGGGUUGUCUAUAUAGUAAUCCUUGUGUCCCAUCCUUGGGGGACUCAUCUCAAUCUCCCUACUCCUCUUCAGCAAUCUCAUCCCUUAUCUCUGCUCAAAGCAUCACCUGUAUUCCAAUAAUUGCCAAUAUUUAUUUCUAGCCCACAGCACUUCCCCCAGCAGACCUGAAAAUCAAACUUUCUGAUGGUCAUUCCCAUCAGAUAUCCACAGGCGUCUCAACCUUAGCAUAUCCAACGCUUAAUUCU